rnacentral:tRNA from 1 species
GGGGGUGUGGCUCAGUUGGUAGAGCGUGACGUUCGCAACGUUAAGGUCGUGGGUUCGAAUCCCAUCAUCUCCACCA